AGUGAACGCUGGCGGUAGGCCUAACACAUGCAAGUCGAACGGCAGCACAGUAAGAGCUUGCUCUUACGGGUGGCGAGUGGCGGACGGGUGAGGAAUACAUCGGAAUCUACUUUUUCGUGGGGGAUAACGUAGGGAAACUUACGCUAAUACCGCAUACGACCUACGGGUGAAAGCAGGGGAUCUUCGGACCUUGCGCGAUUGAAUGAGCCGAUGUCGGAUUAGCUAGUUGGCGGGGUAAAGGCCCACCAAGGCGACGAUCCGUAGCUGGUCUGAGAGGAUGAGCAGCCACAAUGGAGAGGAGAAACGGUCCAGCCUCCUACGGGAGGCAGCAGUGGGGAAUAGUGGACAAUGGGCGCAAGCUUGAUCCAGCCAUACCGCGUGGGUGAAGAAGGCCUUCGGGUUGUAAAGCCCUUUUGUUGGGAAAGAAAAGCAGCAGGUUAAUACCCCGCUGUUCUGACGGUACCCAAAGAAUAAGCACCGGCUAACUUCGUG
rnacentral:rRNA from 1 species